rnacentral:rRNA from 1 species
AUUGAACGCUGGCGGAAUGCUUUACACAUGCAAGUCGAACGGCAGCAUAGGUGCUUGCACCUGAUGGCGAGUGGCGAACGGGUGAGUAAUACAUCGGAACGUGCCCAGUCGUGGGGGAUAACGUAGCGAAAGUUACGCUAAUACCGCAUACGAUCUAAGGAUGAAAGCGGGGGACCGUAAGGCCUCGCGCGAUUGGAGCGGCCGAUGUCAGAUUAGGUAGUUGGUGAGGUAAAGGCUCACCAAGCCGACGAUCUGUAGCUGGUCUGAGAGGACGACCAGCCACACUGGGACUGAGACACGGCCCAGACUCCUACGGGAGGCAGCAGUGGGGAAUUUUGGACAAUGGACGCAAGUCUGAUCCAGCCAUUCCGCGUGCAGGACGAAGGCCUUCGGGUUGUAAACUGCUUUUGUACGGAACGAAAAAGCUCUUACUAAUACUAGGAGUCCAUGACGGUACCGUAAGAAUAAGCACCGGCUAACUACGUG